rnacentral:sRNA from 1 species
CAAGCAGGGGUCUCUAAUAAAUCCCCUUAAGCCAUCUGGGCCUACACCAGCAUCCGGUCAGUUAUCAUCUGGUGACAAAGCUUCAGGACUGGCUUUAAUUUUGGGAUAAUCACACCAACACCGUCUUCUAAUUUCACUGCUGCACAAGGGGCAACACCCUCCACUAAAGAGUCAAGCCAGCUGGAUGCAUUCUCAUUUGGUGGGGGAAGCAAACCUUCUUAUGAGGCCAUUCCUGAAAGCUCACCUCCCUCAGGAAUCACAUCCGCAUCAAACACCACCCCAGGAGAACCUGCCACAUCUAGCAGCAGACCUGUGGCACCUUCUGGAACUGCUCUUUCCACUACCUCUAGUAAGCUGGAAACCCCACCGUCCAAGCUGGGAGAGCUUCUGUUUCCAAGUUCUUUGGCUGGAGAGACUCUGGGAAGUUUUUCAGGACUGCGUGUUGGCCAAGCAGAUGAUUCUACAAAGCCAACCAAUAAGGCUUCAUCCACAAGCCUAACUAGUACCCAGCCAACCAAGACGUCAGGCGUGCCCUCAGGGUUUAAUUUUACUGCCCCCCCAGUGUUAGGGAAGCAAACGGAGCCCCCUGUGACCUCCUCUGCAACCACCACCUCAGUAGC